rnacentral:rRNA from 1 species
GAUGAACGCUGGCGGCGUGCUUAACACAUGCAAGUCGAACGGAAAGGCCUGUACUUGUACAGGUACUCGAGUGGCGAACGGGUGAGUAACACGUGGGUAAUCUGCCCUGCACUCUGGGAUAAGCCUUGGAAACGGGGUCUAAUACCGGAUAGGACACAUCGCCGCAUGGUGUGUGUGUGGAAAGUUCCGGCGGUGCAGGUUGAGCCCGCGGCCUAUCAGCUUGUUGGUGGGGUGAUGGCCUACCAAGGCGACGACGGGUAGCUGGUCUGAGAGGAUGGUCAGCCGGACUGGGACUGAGAUACGGCCCAGACUCCUACGGGGGGCAGCAAUUAGGAAUCUUGCGCAAUGGGCGAAAGCCUGACGCAGCGACGUCGCGUGACCGCUGAAGUCUUUCGGGAUGUAAAGGUCUUUUGACAGGGAAGAUAAUGACGGUACCUAACCAGAAAGCCACGGCUAACUACGUGCCAGCCGCCGCGGUAA